rnacentral:misc_RNA from 1 species
CAAAAUUACAAGAAUUGAACCAAAAAACUGAGCUGUCCCUUGUUGGUUUAUGUGGAUUUUUCGGUUGGAAUUGCAUCAUUUCAUAACUGAUUCUAAUUCUUUAGCGACUUUUUGCGCAAUUUCCUGAGGGUNNNNNNNNUUUUCUGUUGUUGUAUCUAACCUUGACUCUUUAAGUCUACAAUCAAUUAUAGGUUAACGGCAUCAAUGCUCAUUUUGAUUGGAAAUGAGCCCAGAUGAAACAAUUAUUGUGAUUUUUACUACUUAUGGAUGGCUUUCUGUGACUGAAACGGAGCUACUUAACUUUUUGGCUGCCGCAGGUAUAUGAAGGUACACGGAAGUUUGAU